UAGGGAAUCUUCGGCAAUGGACGAAAGUCUGACCGAGCAACGCCGCGUGAGUGAAGAAGGUUUUCGGACCGUAAAACUCUGUUGUUAGAGAAGAACAAGGACGUUAGUAACUGAACGUCCCCUGACGGUAUCUAACCAGAAAGCCACGGCUAACUACGUGCCAGCAGCCGCGGUAAUACGUAGGUGGCAAGCGUUGUCCGGAUUUAUUGGGCGUAAAGCGAGCGCAGGCGGUUUCUUAAGUCUGAUGUGAAAGCCCCCGGCUCAACCGGGGAGGGUCAUUGGAAACUGGGAGAAUUGAGUGCAGAAGAGGAGAGUGGAAUUCCAUGUGUAGCGGUGAAAUGCGUAGAUAUAUGGAGGAACACCAGUGGCGAAGGCGGCUCUCUGGGCUGUAACUGACGCUGAGGAUCGAAAGCGUGGGGAGCAAACAGG
rnacentral:rRNA from 1 species